GGAUGUGAGGGCGAUCUGGCUGCGACAUCUGUCACCCCAUUGAUCGCCAGGGUUGAUUCGGCUGAUCUGGCUGGCUAGGCGGGUGUCCCCUUCCUCCCUCACCGCUCCAUGUGCGUCCCUCCCGAAGCUGCGCGCUCGGUCGAAGAGGACGACCAUCCCCGAUAGAGGAGGACCGUUCUUCGGUCAAGGGUAUACGAGUAGCUGCGCUCCCCUGCUAGAACCUCCAAACAAGCUCUCAAGAUCUUGUUGCUGCUACUUAAAAUGUUAAUGACCAUGGAAAGUUGGCUUCUAGUUGUACCCAUCUACAAAGUGGGAUCAUAAUAGAGCCUGCCUU
rnacentral:snRNA from 1 species